GGUAAGCUACCAAUGUUUUGAAUGGUGAAAUAUAGUGACGUAAUAUAUGUCAUGUUUAUAGUUAUGGUCACAAACUACUUACUCUCGUGGUUUGUGGUUAUGGUGGAAUAUGAGAAAUCGGUGAUACCUUAAAAAUUAGAAAUUGAGAUAAGAAUAGAAAUUAGGAAAAGUUAAAUUAAUAGUGAAUCUGAAAUGUCUCUGUUGUCAAGAUUCUUGCCAGUAAUUCAAAAAUCUAUAUGGCGUUCAACAAGCUUCACGAGUGAAUUCCUGCAACCAUUUUCCCAAUUUCAUUCGAUAACUAGUGAGAGAAUUUCACCAUAUGCUCCUGGAGGUCUGUUCAAUCUUUCAGUUCGCACAAUUAUACGCAACCACUUUCCUCGACCAUCGGAAAGAAAAAGGAUCAAAAGGCAUGGUUGGGAAACUAGGAUGAAGACAGCUUCAGGGCGAAGAGUAUUAAUGAAUAGAAUUCUUAAAGGUAGACAUGUAUAUUCUCAUUGAAAUAUAUUUGUCUGUAUGAGCCUAUAUAAGCAGAAAAUAAAAUUUAGUUGUAAAUAUGCCUA